GGCCCCGUGGCCGGGUGGUUAAGUUCGCGCGCUCCGCUGCAGGCGGCCCAGUGUUUCGUUGGUUCGAAUCCUGGGCGCGGACAUGACACUGCUCAUCAAACCACGCUGAGGCAGCGUCCCACAUGCCACAACUAGAAGGACCCACAACGAAGAAUAUACAACUAUGUACCGGGGGGGCUUUGGGGAGAAAAAUGAAAAAAUAAAAUCUUUAAAAAAAAAAAGAGCAAUUUCAGUGCACCGGUGGGAGUGAAAAUCGGCUUAAGGUGGAUCCGAGAAUGAACUAGGGAGAGAAAUUGGAGACGGCUGGUAUAAAUGACCAAUUCAAGGAGUUCUACAGGAAAAGGACAGAGAAAUGAGGAAACUGAGUCCUGAAGAUGCUGAGUGACUUCAUCAAGAUCAGAUGGCAAACACACAGACAUGGAGAACAGAUUUGUGG
rnacentral:lncRNA from 1 species